CCCUGAGCUGCCUUUAUGGAAGGAGGAGCAACUCUUCAGGAUGCGGGUCUGUUGUGGGUGAUUUCGUUUGCCCAGUUUAGUUUUAUUUGAAUCAGUUCACAAGUACCUGCGAUUAGAAAAGGCUUAAGAUGGGAGGCCAAGGUGGGGAGGUCGCUUGAGCCCAGGAGUUCCAGACCAGCUGAGCAAGCUGGCAAAACCUCAUCCCUACAAAAAAUGCAAACAUUAGCUGGGCAUAAUGGUGCACACUUGUAGUCCCAGCUACUCAGGAGGUUGGGGUAGGAGGAUCACUUGAGCCCAGGAAGUCGAGGUUGCAGUGAGCUGUGAUUGCACCACUGCACUCCAGCCUGGGCAACAUAGUGAGACCCUGUCUCAAAAAAAAAAAAAAAAAAAAAGUUAAGAAGUGGCUUUAGCCAGCAUGUCUCUGUGGCUGCCACUCCCUCCUCCCCGCAUUUCUUGCAAAGUACCUAGGACCAGGAAUGUAGGGAUCAGUGGAGGGAGGUGGGUGGGUGAACACAGGAAACUCCGGCAUUACCCGCGCGGCCCCAGGAUCUUGGGAAAAAGGAGCCCACUGGCACCCAGAGUUGUGGCACCUUCUGCGGGUCGCCUUUUUCUUUUGAACCAGAGGUCGCUGGACUGAUCGCAGACAAUUGGCUCUUUUAUUGCAUUCCGCUGGGCCUCUCUCUGUCAAGCCCUGGGGAAAGAUGACUUUACCACCAGCCCCCAAGCUGGAAGUGGAAUUUCGGGUUUCUUAAUGGGUGCGAGCCACAUUCUUCUCCUCUAAAAACAGUUUGAGGACUUUCCCCACUUACCCCUUGCCUUAGUUUGGGGGCAGGAAGCAGGAGGAGACGGGGACUGUGGCUGGCGCUUCCCUCACCGCCCCUUGGGAAGGACCACACAGGCCCAAGGGGACGGGUGAAUAACCGAG
rnacentral:lncRNA from 10 species